CUGGGUUGACCAGGUGUGCGUGGUGCAGGUGGCGAGCCAGCGCCUCCAUACAGGCGUAUGUUCCUCUGCCCCUGCAUUCUGGCAUCCUGUUGUUGUUGGCCAGUGGUGGUGCUGUGUGGCUGUAAUGUGUCAGAAGUAGGCUGGGCAGGGAGGGUGUGCGCAUGGGAUGUGCCUGGCAUGCGCCUUGAUGGGCCAGCAGCCUUGUACAGGCUGUGCACCCCAUCUGGUAGUGCUGGGUUGACCAGGUGUGCGUGGUGCAGGUGGCGAGCCAGCGCCUCCAUACAGGCGUAUGUUCCUCUGCCCCUGCAUUCUGGCAUCCUGUUGUUGUUGGAGUGGUGGUGCUGUGUGGCUGUAAUGUGUCAGAAGUAGGCUGGGCAGGGAGGGUGUGCGCAUGGGAUGUGUCUGGCAUGCGCCUUGAUGGGCCAGCAGCCUUGUACAGGCUGUGCACCCUAUCUGUUAGUGCUGGGUUGACCAGGUGUGCGUGGUGCAGGUGGCGAGCCAGCGCCUCCAUACAGGCGUAUGUUCCUCUGCCCCUGCAUUCUGGCAUCCUGUUGUUGCUGGAGGGGUUGCGCUGUGUGGCUGUAAUGUGUCAGAAGUAGGCUGGGCAGGGAGGGUGUGCGCAUGGGAUGUGCCUGGCAUGCGCCUUGAUGGGCCAGCAGCCUUGUACAGGCUGUGCACCCUAUCUGUUAGUGCUGGGUUGACCAGGUGUGCGUGGUGCAGGUGGCGAGCCAGCGCCUCCAUACAGGCGUAUGUUCCUCUGCCCCUGCAUUCUGGCAUCCUGUUGUUGUUGGAGUGGUGGUGCUGUGUGGCUGUAAUGUGCGAGGAAAGUGACAUGAGCAUGUGCAGCAAGUGAGAUCUGUCCUGUCAUGUUUGCAGGUAUGCAGACAUUCGUUGGCAUGAUGUUGAGAGUGUCCAACCAGGCGUAUGCUUUGUGGCCGCCACCCAGCUGGCUGAAGCCAUCUACAACAUGACUGCAAAGAUCUUUACUUGCUUGGCAGUUUGGAGCCUGGUGGGCUGGAAGGCAGUUAGGAUGGGAGCCUGGGUGACUCAGAGCCUGGAAGAUUGAGGGCCUGGUAGGCUGUUUGGCUGGGAUCCAAGGUGCCAAGGAGCUUGUGAGGUUGGGAGCAUGGGACACUGGGAGGCUAGGAGAUAGGGAGACUGGGGGACUGGCAGACUGGGGGACUUGCAUUCCAUGUUCAGGAGAGGUGAAAUUGCUGGCAGAGAUGCUUGUGAAUGUAAGAAACCCUAAGACAGCACCCAGCACCAAAGAAAAAGAAAAUUAGCCAUGCAGCCAAGCCACAACUGUCUGUAAGACAACACCCACCACUAAAUAGAAGAACACUUAUCAUGCAGUCAAGCUACACCUGUUUGCAAGGCAACACACACCACCAAAGAGGACACUUACUAUACAGUCACAACGAAACAAAGCAUUACACGACCCAUACAUGAGUGACAGACUGGAAACUAGUGAACUGAGACUGCCUAAUCCUUCUG
rnacentral:lncRNA from 1 species